rnacentral:tRNA from 1 species
GGGGUUGUGGCUCAGUGGUAGAGUGCUUGCCUAGCACACAUGAGGCACUAUGUUCAAUCCUCAGCACCG